GGGUCAGUAGGUUGGUCGUGCCACCGGUACGUACUGGUCUCACUGAUUCCUCCUUCCUGAAGAACCGUAAUGCCAUUAAUUUGGUGUUGCGGGGAAACAGGACUGUUACUUUGAAAAAAUUAGAGUGUUUAAAGCAAGCUAACGCUUGAAUACAUUAGCACGGGAUAAUGAAAUAGGACGAUCGAUCCUAUUUUGUUGGUUUCUAGGAUUGACGUA
rnacentral:rRNA from 1 species